CAACUCUGUAGCUGACCAUUGCUACAAGCCUAUUGGUUGGAGCCACCCGCAUCCAAGAUUCUCCAUCUCAGGGGUGAGGCGAAUGGCCCAGGCAGAACUGAAGUGGACACGCCCUCUGCAGAGUCAUUCUGGUCUCUUGACAUUGCCUUUCCGAGUCUCAUCUCAUGUUAGCAUGUGAAAGAAUCUCUUCUUCUUUUGUAUAAGAAGUGUUUGUGUAAAUUAGUGUUUCUUGAAAUGUGGGUGGGGCCCCCCUAUAUAGGAAUCACCUGUGGAGCAUGAAAACGCCUCAUUCCCGUGACUUUCCUGAUUUUUCCAUGGUUGGAGAGCCCUAUGUCCAUGGAGGGCAGCUCUUUCUCAACCUUUAAAGAACAGAAGUAAUUGAUUGGCCUUACGAAUA